rnacentral:rRNA from 1 species
GAUGAACGCUAGCUACAGGCUUAACACAUGCAAGUCGCAGGGUAACAUGAGGAAAGCUUGCUUUCCUUGAUGACGACUGGCGCACGGGUGAGUAACGCGUAUCCAACCUUCCCAUAACUACGGGAUAACCCGUUGAAAGACGGCCUAAUACCGUAUGAUAUCGUUUGCUGACAUCAAAUAACGAUUAAAGGUUUAGCGGUUAUGGAUGGGGAUGCGUCUGAUUAGCUUGUUGGCGGGGUAACGGCCCACCAAGGCGACGAUCAGUAGGGGUUCUGAGAGGAAGGUCCCCCACAUUGGAACUGAGACACGGUCCAAACUCCUACGGGAGGCAGCAGUGAGGAAUAGUAGGCAAUGGGCGAGAGCCUGAACCAGCCAAGUAGCGUGCAGGACGACGGCCCUAUGGGUUGUAAACUGCUUUUAUGUGGGGAUAAAGUGCGUGACGUGUCAUGCAUUGCAGGUACCACAUGAAUAAGGACCGGCUAAUUCCGUG